rfam:Eutrema salsugineum unplaced genomic scaffold scaffold_6, whole genome shotgun sequence.
AACCCAUGGUGAGGGCACUGGUGGGUAUAGCUUCUAAAUAUCUCUCAGGCUUCACCAAAUGUCUCAUUGUUGUGUUGUGUGAAGGAAGAUAUCAAAUUUCUGAGCUU